UGAGGCAGGAGAAUUGCUUGAACCCAGGAGGUGGAGGUUGCAGUGAGCCGAGAUCGCGCCACUGCACUCCAACCUGGACGACAAAGUGAGACUCAGUCUCA
rnacentral:miRNA from 1 species